UCCUGACAGCAUUAUGCUGACACUCGCCACGACAGGAGAUUGACAUG
ncrna:unclassified sequences Mu-gpT-DE RNA